rnacentral:lncRNA from 1 species
ACCACCCUUCUUUCUAUUUUUUUCUCCCAAUUUUUUUUUAGAAAAAAAUCAAUCCCUUAUUGAUCACUCACAACCUCUAUGCAUAUUUUAUCAUAUCCAGAACACCCGAUACAAGGAUCAGAGAACUAAGUUAGAAAGUGAACCAAAAUAUAGAUUCAUGUACACAAAGUACCAUGGUGAUCUCAGGUCAAAAGAUCACUUACACAACUCUCACUAG